rnacentral:rRNA from 1 species
AUGAUCGCGCUCGGACUGAACGUCGUUGCCAGGGCCUGCGUGUUCUCCUCCGGCACAGGCCGCGACGGCGGCUGCUGGACCAUGGCGCCGGUCGCGGCAGACCGCCGCGUGAAGCCCAUGACAGAGUUAUGCUUGGCGAGGCAUGUCGGGAAUUCUGUCUACUGGACGACCUUGCGCACGGAAAUCAUCACCCUCGACAAGGACACGGCGCAGUUCUCCUGCUCCUUGUUCCCGGACGACAUGUAUUUCUGCUAUGGGCUUGAGUUCGUAGGCUGUGGUGGCGGCAAGGUGAGCAUUGCCCGCCUGGACCAUAGAGAUCUCAACGUUUUCGUCCUCAUGCAAGGCAGACAUGAAUGGGUGCUGGAGAACAGUGUCCCACUGCCGCAGUUGAUCGGCGAGGUUCAAGGUCACGGUUGGUUGAAGCUCAACAUGCCGAAGAAGGUUGUCUCGGUGGGGGAGGGCUCCGUCGUGUUGUGCACGGAGAAAGGCGUGGGGCUCGUCUCCGUCGACCUCGCCACCAUGGAGUCGGAGCGCCUUCACGAUGGGAACAAGUACUACGCGCCAGCGUACAUGUACCAGCUUCCAUGGCCUUUCAUGUACCGGAGUGAAUAG